rnacentral:lncRNA from 1 species
CCCAGGGCUCGGCCAGGGGAAGCGGCACUAGUGACCAAGGUCCCAGCUGGUGGGUCCUUCUAGACGUGUCCCCCAGAAACCCUCCCCAGGCCCCAGGCUGAGCCAGCGGCCUGCGUCACACCCCAGGGUCUGCAGAGAAAAGGGUCUGCCACGUGGCCACGUCCACAGGCCCCAGGCAGAAUUUAAGGAGCAACACAAAAUGGACUUAGUCCCACUUCACAGGGAGGAAAACUGAGGCUGCCAAGAUCUCAUGACGACCCGAGGUUGCCCUGCAGAGUUGCCCAGGUGGAGUCUGAAUGAGCACCGUUGGGUUUCGCUCUUGCCUCUGUUGGUGGUCUUCUCGUUUCUGCUAAACCAGAUGGGAGGCAGAGGCUGAAGAGGCUGCCCCAGGUGUGAUAAGACUCUGGCCCUGAGCCAGCCCAGCCCCUGGAUCUCAGGCCCAGGAUAAUCCCAGCCCAGGGUGCCUGGACCCAGCUGGUUCCCAGCC